rnacentral:rRNA from 1 species
UACGGAGGGGGUUAGCGUUGUUCGGAAUUACUGGGCGUAAAGCGCGCGUAGGCGGACCAUUAAGUCGGGGGUGAAAUCCCGGGGCUCAACCCCGGAACUGCCUUCGAUACUGGUGGUCUGGAGUUCGAGAGAGGUGAGUGGAAUUCCGAGUGUAGAGGUGAAAUUCGUAGAUAUUCGGAGGAACACCAGUGGCGAAGGCGGCUCACUGGCUCGAUACUGACGCUGAGGUGCGAAAGUGUGGGGAGCAAACAGGAUUAGAUACCCUGGUAGUCCACACCGUAAACGAUGAAUGCCAGACGUCGGCAGGCAUGCCUGUCGGUGUCACACCUAACGGAUUAAGCAUUCCGCCUGGGGAGUACGGUCGCAAGAUUAAA